AUAAACUGGCAUGUUCUGAAAGAAUCACUCUGGAUGCUGUGUGGAGAAAACACUGAAAAGAAUUCUAGAGUGAAAGUUUCAUGAAUAUAAGAAGCAAGACAAGGAAGUGGCUUAUGCUUAAGGCCUUAAAGGCAACCACUGUGACAAUCCAGCCAUUCUCUGGAGAAUUCAGCAGAAAGCCAGUUGGAAGGUUUGAAAUGGAAAUUACAAGCGCAAUAUUACAGAAGUGUGGAUUUUAGUUACAAUGUCUCUAUGAGAAAGUCUAAAAGUUAAACAUAAGCAAAACAACAAAAACAUCUAAAUACCAGGAAUUUGUUAUCUCGAUUAUGGAGGGCGACAAGUCCCACAGUCUGCCAUCUGCAGGAUGGAGAACCAGGGGGAGAAUAAUUGACUCCAUUCAAGUGUUCGCUCCUGUUUCAAUCAACUAUGGCUGAAGAGUGAGGAGACAUUUGGAAUAAAUAUGGCUUCUGGGGGCCCAUUCCUAUGGAUCAGCAGCUGGCUUCUGGAGGCCCAUUCCUGUGAAUCGUCGAUCUCAUAGAAGAUAAUAUUGUUAGAAGGCUUACCUCAUUGAUGCUGAACAUCCUAAAAAGCUUCUGCUGCUUUGAGUCACUGAAAAAGACCAAGAAACAUGAAUUUAAAAAAAAAUUUCAAAUGUUAUAAAAUAAAUAAUAUGAACUCAU
rnacentral:lncRNA from 1 species